CACCAAGUAACCACAACAAAAUGAUCACUCUGGAGCACCGUCUACAUGGAGACCAGGAAUGACAACAAUCAAGUGAGUCCUUCAGUGAACACCUGUAGACUCUCUCAGUCAGAGGCUGGGAAGACCGAAGUGCUUACCUGACUCAUUCCUGUACUUCUAUCCCAACAAACCGUGACGCAUGGAGAUGUUAAAGCUGUCAACUUUUCUUGGUAAAUGUUUCUACCCAGGAAGACAGUAUUUCGCCCACUGUGAAGCCUUCUAAGCACGUUCCUCCGAAGCAGCCAGAAGCGGCCAUCCAUCAUAAAAGAAACACCAAGUUUGGAGAGUGGCAGUGGGAGGAGCCUCCAGAAAACUCACAGGAUGCUGGAUGUACUCAUCCGCCCCAGAGCCCCUCACGCUGUUCCCGGUCCCAGGAGACAGACGUGCAAACACACGGACAGGCUCCCCUGCCUACUGACUUCCGAUCUGGCCCCACCAAG